rnacentral:rRNA from 1 species
GACGAACGCUGGCGGCGUGCUUAACACAUGCAAGUCGAACGCUGAAGCUUGGUGCUUGCACGGGGUGGGUGAGGGGCGAACGGGUGAGUAAUACGUGAGUAACCUGCCCUUGACUCUGGGAUAAGCCGGGGAAACGGGGUCUAAUACGGGAUACGACAUUGCACCGCAUGGUGGUGUGGGGAAAGGGGUUUGGUGGUUAUGGAUUGGCUCACGGCCUAUCAGCUUGUUGGUGGGGUAAUGGCCUACCAAGGCGACGACGGGUAGCCGGCCUGAGAGGGUGACCGGCCACACUGGGACUGAGACACGGCCCAGACUCCUACGGGAGGCAGCAGUGGGGAAUAUUGCACAAUGGGCGGAAGCCUGAUGCAGCGACGCCGCGUGCGGGAUGACGGCCUUCGGGUUGUAAACCUCUUUCAGCAGGGAAGAAGCGAGAGUGACGGUACGUGCAGAAGAAGCGCCGGCUAACUACGUG